AUCUGACCUUUGGUACUGGGGCAACUGAACACAGUGCAGGUAGUCCUCAACUUAUGACUGCAAUGGAGCCCAACAUUUAUGUUGUUAAUGCCCUGUCUCAUCUACAAUUUUCAAGAGAUGGUUCCUCCUUGACUUGUCCAGACACAUUAGAGAGUUUGGUGUGACAGACAGCAGGGUUGUCUUGGAUGUUCCUUUCGUUGACCCAUCAUCCUUAUAAUCACAUGAUCAACUUUCAGAUACUUGGCAACCAACUCCUAUUUAUGACAGCUCCAGUGUUCCAGGAUCAUGGGAUCACCAUCUGACAAAGUCAAAGGAAAAGCCAGAUUCACUUGACAUCCCAGUUACUAACAUCAGCUGCAAUGAUUCACAUUAACUGUGACAAGAGAGGCUGUGAAAUGGGGCAAAA